AUUUUAUAGAUGCACAUUAAUGAGGAACACUUGGAUAUGACAUGAAGAUGUAAGAUGGAAAGCACAAAGUUAUAUUUUAAACUCAAUUCCACUUCAAGACUUCAUGGUAUUUUGACCAGAUUUCCCAAUGAGCCUCAGCUUCUGCUGCUUUCACUUAAAAUCAUCUUGACCACUAUUUCACAGGAGCAAAGAAUUCUCUCUCUUAGAGAUAAACUUUAAUUCCAGGAGUGAUUGUCCUCUGCCUAUCCUGAAGUAAUAUUCUCACACUUACUGUUAACUAAGAUGCUUUAAACAGGAGCAUAGGUUCCCAACUGAAAUAAAGAAAUUUCACAUAAAUCA
rnacentral:lncRNA from 1 species